UUUGAUGAUGAAAUUUCACAUUAUAAACCAAUGACGGAACGAUCGACCAUUUUUACUGUGAACUAAAAAUACAAAAUUCCACCUUCAGAAGUUGCUGCAAUGUUCUUCAACUAUUUUUUGAUCAAGGUACCCCUAAAGAUGUGCACAUCAUUGCCAAGCACCUUGCAUAAUAUAAAUUAUACAUUUAUCUUUACUCUUACCAGUUCUUUUAAAUUAUGCCCGGACGAAAAAACAGAUCCCUCUGCAGAUAUUACGAUGGCUCUUAAAUCGUUAUUUUGUUGAUCGCA